UGAGGAAUAUUGGUCAAUGGACGAGAGUCUGAACCAGCCAAGUAGCGUGAAGGAUGAAGGUUCUAUGGAUUGUAAACUUCUUUUAUACGGGAAUAAACGAAUCCACGCGUGGAUUUUUGCAUGUACCGUAUGAAUAAGGAUCGGCUAACUCCGUGCCAGCAGCCGCGGUAAUACGGAGGAUCCGAGCGUUAUCCGGAUUUAUUGGGUUUAAAGGGAGCGUAGAUGGGUUGUUAAGUCAGUUGUGAAAGUUUGCGGCUCAACCGUAAAAUUGCAGUUGAUACUGGGUGUCUUGAGUACAGUAGAGGCAGGCGGAAUUCGUGGUGUAGCGGUGAAAUGCUUAGAUAUCACGAAGAACUCCGAUUGCGAAGGCAGCCUGCUGGACUGUAACUGACGCUGAUGCUCGAAAGUGUGGGUAUCAAACAGGAUUAGAUACCCUGGUAGUCCACACAGUAAACGAUGAAUACUCGCUGUUUGCGAUAUACAGUAAGCGGCCAAGCGAAAGCGUUAAGUAUUCCACCUGGGGAGUACGCCGGCAACGGUGAAACUCAAAGGAAUUGACGGGGGCCCGCACAAGCGGAGGAACAUGUGGUUUAAUUCGAUGAUACGCGAGGAACCUUACCCGGGCUUGAAUUGCAACUGAAUGAUGUGGAGACAUGUCAGCCGCAAGGCAGUUGUGAAGGUGCUGCAUGGUUGUCGUCAGCUCGUGCCGUGAGGUGUCGGCUUAAGUGCCAUAACGAGCGCAACCCUUAUCGAUAGUUACCAUCAGGUUAUGCUGGGGACUCUGUCGAGACUGCCGUCGUAAGAUGUGAGGAAGGUGGGGAUGACGUCAAAUCAGCACGGCCCUUACGUCCGGGGCUACACACGUGUUACAAUGGGGGGUACAGAAGGCAGCUACACGGCGACGUGAUGCUAAUCCCGAAAGCCUCUCUCAGUUCGGAUUGGAGUCUGCAACCCGACUCCAUGAAGCUGGAUUCGCUAGUAAUCGCGCAUCAGCCACGGCGCGGUGAAUACGUUCCC
rnacentral:rRNA from 2 species